GACGAACGCUGGCGGCGUGCUUAACACAUGCAAGUCGAACGGAAAGGCCCUGCUUUUGUGGGGUGCUCGAGUGGCGAACGGGUGAGUAACACGUGAGUAACCUGCCCUUGACUUUGGGAUAACUUCAGGAAACUGGGGCUAAUACCGGAUAGGAGCUCCUGCUGCAUGGUGGGGGUUGGAAAGUUUCGGCGGUUGGGGAUGGACUCGCGGCUUAUCAGCUUGUUGGUGGGGUAGUGGCUUACCAAGGCUUUGACGGGUAGCCGGCCUGAGAGGGUGACCGGCCACAUUGGGACUGAGAUACGGCCCAGACUCCUACGGGAGGCAGCAGUGGGGAAUAUUGCACAAUGGGCGGAAGCCUGAUGCAGCAACGCUGCGUGCGGGAUGACGGCCUUCGGGUUGUAAACCGCUUUCGCCUGUGACGAAGCGUGAGUGACGGUAAUGGGUAAAGAAGCGCCGGCUAACUACGUG
rnacentral:rRNA from 1 species